UACGGGGGGGGCAAGCGUUGUUCGGAAUUACUGGGCGUAAAGGGCUCGUAGGUGGCCAAUUAAGUCAGACGUGAAAUCCCCAGGCUCAACUUGGGAACUGCGUCUGAUACUGGAUGGCUUGAAUCCGGGAGAGGGAUGCAGAAUUCCAGGUGUAGCGGUGAAAUGCGUAGAUAUCUGGAGGAAUACCGGUGGCGAAGGCGGCAUCCUGGACCGGGAUUGACACUGAGGAGCGAAAGCUAGGGGAGCAAACGGG
rnacentral:rRNA from 1 species